rnacentral:tRNA from 1 species
AUUUAAAUAGUUUAAUUAAAGCAUUAGUUUGUGGUGCUAAAGAUAUAACAUGGUUAUUUUAAAUA